GUACCCUCAAGCUCUGCUUGGUGAUGGACGUUUGUUCCGCUGUAACGCGUGAACUCGUCUCAAAUCAAUUGGCAGCCGGCAAUCUGGUGUUUGAGCGCAGCACAUUUUGCGCUCUCCGCUGUGAAUUGCGGGCGUCCAUGAAGCCUAUAUUUUCGC
rnacentral:misc_RNA from 1 species